ACCCGGGUGCUGGAAUUGGUAGACAGGCAUGGUUGAGGGCCAUGUGUCUUAUGGACGUGUGGGUUCAAGUCCCAUUCCGGGUA
rnacentral:tRNA from 3 species